rnacentral:lncRNA from 1 species
AAGAGGUUGCACAGGCUCGGACACAUGGUUGCUUGCUUAGCUUUGCUUGGUGCCUCCGGCUGGUGCCGCUGUACCGUGCUGUCGACGGCGCUGCGGUGGGGAGGGGGCGGCCACGAGGCAGGGCGCUCUCGGCGGCACGGUAGAGUAAAUUGCAAAAAAUCAUCAUAAUUACGGACGCGAAAAUAAAAAACCGCUAUGGUUCGUUUUGUUUUUAAAAAAUCAUAAGCAUUGUGCGGACAAUUUUCAGAAACGCUAAUUGAACGAUUAGAGCAGUUUCAUGUAAAAUCUGAUAAGGAGGUCCCACUGUGAGGUGCCACGUGGUUUGGGUGGAGAGGUGCUCGUCAUACCCGUACUAACGGCGCUGGCUGGUCAUGAUAUUAACGAGC